rnacentral:rRNA from 1 species
UACGAAGGGUGCAACCGUUGCUCGGAAUUAUUGGGCGUAAAGCGCACGUAGGCGGCUUUGUAAGUUAGAGGUGAAAGCCCGGGGCUCAACUCCGGAAUUGCCUUUAAGACUGCAUCGCUAGAAUUGUGGAGAGGUAAGUGGAAUUCCGAGUGUAGAGGUGAAAUUCGUAGAUAUUCGGAAGAACACCAGUGGCGAAGGCGACUUACUGGACACAUAUUGACGCUGAGGUGCGAAAGCGUGGGGAGCAAACAGG